rnacentral:rRNA from 1 species
UACGAAGGGGGCUAGCGUUGCUCGGAAUCACUGGGCGUAAAGCGCACGUAGGCGGAUCUUUAAGUCAGGGGUGAAAUCCUGGAGCUCAACUCCAGAACUGCCUUUGAUACUGGGGAUCUCGAGUCCGGAAGAGGUGAGUGGAACUCCGAGUGUAGAGGUGAAAUUCGUAGAUAUUCGGAAGAACACCAGUGGCGAAGGCGGCUCACUGGUCCGGUACUGACGCUGAGGUGCGAAAGCGUGGGGAGCAAACAGGG